GGGAAUUUAGCUCAGUGGUUUGGGCGCCUGCCUCGCAAGCACAAGGACCCGAGUUCGAUCCCUGGUACCCA
rnacentral:tRNA from 1 species